rnacentral:rRNA from 1 species
GACGAACGCUGGCGGCGUGCCUAAUACAUGCAAGUAGAACGCUGAAGAGAGGAGCUUGCUCUUCUUGGAUGAGUUGCGAACGGGUGAGUAACGCGUAGGUAACCUGCCUUGUAGCGGGGGAUAACUAUUGGAAACGAUAGCUAAUACCGCAUAACAAUGGAUGACACAUGUCAUUUAUUUGAAAGGGGCAAUUGCUCCACUACAAGAUGGACCUGCGUUGUAUUAGCUAGUAGGUGAGGUAACGGCUCACCUAGGCGACGAUACAUAGCCGACCUGAGAGGGUGAUCGGCCACACUGGGACUGAGACACGGCCCAGAAGCCUACGGGAGGCAGCAGUAGGGAAUCUUCGGCAAUGGGGGCAACCCUGACCGAGCAACGCCGCGUGAGUGAAGAAGGUUUUCGGAUCGUAAAGCUCUGUUGUAAGUCAAGAACGAGUGUGAGAGUGGAAAGUUCACACUGUGACGGUAGCUUACCAGAAAGGGACGGCUAACUACGUG